rnacentral:rRNA from 1 species
UACGGGGGGGGCAAGCGUUGUUCGGAAUUACUGGGCGUAAAGGGCUCGUAGGCGGCCAACUAAGUCAGACGUGAAAUCCCUCGGCUUAACCGGGGAACUGCGUCUGAUACUGGAUGGCUUGAGUGUGGGAGAGGAAUGCGGAAUUCCAGGUGUAGCGGUGAAAUGCGUAGAUAUCUGGAGGAACACCGGUGGCGAAGGCGGCAUUCUGGACCAUUGCUGACGCUGAGGAGCGAAAGCCAGGGGAGCAAACGGG